rnacentral:lncRNA from 1 species
UCAUUUCAUUUGGGUUUGAGUCCAUGCUCAGGCCAAGUCGAAGACUCCACCCUCAGAGUCUGGUGUGGUUGCCAGGUUGUAUUCUCUGCUUAAUUUUGACAUGUGUAGGAGCGAGUUUGAGUCAGUUUGUGCUCGUGUAUAUCCUGGGAGAUGGGGUUCAUCUCUAAUGGUGCUUAAGUAUCUAUCCAGUUGCAAUUUGAAUGAUUCCACACUGCAUCCUGAUAGAUUUCUGAUAUGUACCGGAAUGGAGUUGAACAGUUGUGCUCCUCGAACCAACAGACUUGAUUCUCGCAGGGUUUUUGCUGCCUGGCCAGCCUUUUUGUUGAUUGGUGGCAGCUGGCAGCGUCUUCCGUGGCGCAGUGAGUGGUAGGUUUUGAUACCAAAGUUUGGCACCUUCUGCUCUAUCAUUUUCCAAAUGUAUAUAAUUCGGUAUCGCUCAAAUCUUCUUUCUAUUGAGUACAUCCUCAAGGUUUUGAGUCUUUGCCAAUAGUCCAGGUCCCUCGUUUCUGAGAAGUAUGAGGUAAAAUUUCUUUGGAGCGAUUCUAUCUUAGAUAGUUGGCCCUUUGUUGUUGGUGACCACAACUGAGAAAAGUAGUCAAUCCUCGGAUGUAUCAUACUGUUCCAGAGGGUUUUCAUUGUUGAGGUAUCUCUUGAUUUGAAGGUGCGCAAGAUCCACCCGCUGUACUUUCUUGCAGUAAGACAGACUGAGUCAAGGUGUUCUCUGAAUUUUAGGUUGGUUCCCAUGUGGAUGCCUAAAUCUUUCACAUACUGUUUUUCCAUUAUUUGUUGUCCUGAUGGGUUUCUGUAGUUUGUUGUAUUUUUCAGAUCUUGAUCUGUUCCGUAGCGAAUUAGUUCAAACUUCUUAUCAUUGAACAACAUGUUGUUUGUUUCCUGCCAUUUAUAUAUGGUGGUCAGGUCCUUUUGUAAGGCCUCUGUAUCCACCUCGUCUUUGAUUUGUCUCAUGACCCUGGUGUCAUCAGCAAAGGAUGAGACGUUGCUAGUUGUAUCUUCAUCUAUGUCAGAGAUGAGGAUGAGAAACAGGAUUGGGCUGAGUACUGUACCCUGAGGAACACUGCUGGUCACAGGUGAUGGUGUUGAAUGGGUUCCAUUCACAGUGCCUGUUUGAGUUCUAUUUGUAAGGAACUCGUGUAUCCAUGUACCAACUUUUCCUCCUACUCCUAGCUUUCGAAGUUUGUGACCCAGGAUGCCAUGAUCUACCUUGUCAAAUGCCUUGGCAAAGUCGAGGUAGAUAACAUCUGUGUUGUAUCCAUUCUCUAGAUUUUCUAGGAUUUGGUCAUGGUGUGCCAGUAGUUGGGAAAGGCAUGAUCUACCUAACCUGAAUCCAUGCUGGUUGCAAUUCAUCAGAUUGUUGGAUUCCAGGAACUCAACCAGUUUUCCACGAACUAUUCUUUCGAAGACCUUGAUAAUGUGUGAUGUCAGUGAGAUUGGUCGGUAGUUCUUUGGUUUUGAUUUGCUAUCCCCUUUAUGUAUUGGAGUUAUGUGUGCUUCUUUAUAUGUAUUUGGUAUUUUGCCAUUCUCCAUAGAUUCCCUCCAUAUCAUGUAAAGGGGUUUCGACAAUUGUGCCUUGCAGUUUUUAAGUAUCAUGGCAUUGAAACCGUCAGGCCCCGCAGCCGAGUGCAUGGAGAGCUUGUCUAUGGCUCUUGCUAUGUCUUCUGGGUUGAAAUCAAUGUCGGAUAGGGUAGGUUUAGUAUGGUCGAUAUCCUUGAAGAAUUUUCCUGGGUCAUGGAUCUUCAUGGUUUUAGAUGGCUCACUGAAGACACUUUCAUACUGUUGACCCAACAUUUCUGCCAUUUCAAUAGGGUUAUUCACUACAUCCCCAUUUUGUCUCUGGAGAGGUCCUAUUGUUGACUUGGUGUUCGAGUAUUUCUUUGCAAAACUGUAGAAACAUUUUGGAUUUUUCUUGAUGUUUUCUAUGGCUCUCUUUUCUGCAUUGUUACGUUCUUCAUCAUAGUGUUGUUUUAGAUUGUCUUCUAAUCUGUAUAUUUGGUCAAGGACUUUCUGUAAUUCAUGUUUUGAUGUCAGCUUAGAUGUUUUGUUUCUUAAUCUUGACCUUUUGCGCAUCAGGAUCUUUCGCUCCCGUGGUACAGAUUUUUUUGUGGACUUGGUUUUCUUUAGAGGAACAUUUUUUUCACAUAUUUCUUCGAUCUUGUUUAAGAAUUUCUUGUGUUUAUCUGGCCCAGUAAGGUAGAGAUCCCAGUCAAUGAUUUGUAACUGGUUGUUAAUAGUUUCCCAAUUUGCCUGGUGAUAAUCAUACCUGCAUAGCUUUGGCAUGUCCUUUUGUUUAAGAGUUGUGGCAUUGGGCUCAUUACCAAUGUGUAAAUGCAUUUCAAUAAUAUUGUGGUCUGAAAGGAUUGUUGGGGUUGAGUGAAGGUCAAAUAGCGUGUCCUCGUUGUUGGUGAAAACCAAGUCGAUCGUAUUAUUAUUUCUUGUUGCUUCUGUCAUCAUUUGUUUGAGGUAUAAUUUCUCUGUGACUUCCAACAGUUUGGCUGCCUGUAUUUGUUCAGCUUUUGUCCCCAGUUUUAGUAUGUGUCCAUGUGGCCAGAUGAUGUUAGGGAAGUUGAAGUCACCAAGGAGGAUAAUGUCUGGCAUUGGACUUGCAAUGUUGGAUCUGGCAAUGUUUCUACGGCUGGAUGCCCUUCCUAACGCCAACCACUCCAUGAGUGUAGUGGGUGCUUUUUACGUGCCACCGGCACAGGUGCCAGAUGAGGCUGGCAAACGGCCACGAUCGGAUGGUACUUUUUACAUGCCACCGGCACGGAGGCCAGGCGAGGCUGGCAAACGGCCACGAUCGAAUGGUGCUUUUUACGUGGUGUAUGUAUAUAUGUGUGUAUGUAUGUAUAUAUAUGUGUGUGUGUGUGUAUGUAUAUGUGUGUGUGUGUGUGUAUGUAUGUAUAUGUGUGUGUGUGUGUAUAUAUGUGUGUGUGUGUAUAUAUAUGUGUGUGUGUAUGUAUAUAUAUAUGUGUGUGUGUAUGUAUAUAUAUAUGUGUGUGUGUAUGUAUAUAUAUGUGUGUGUGUGUAUGUAUAUAUGUGUCAUCAUCAUCAUCAUCAUCAUCAUUUAGCGUCCGUUCUCCAUGCUAGCAUGGGUUGGACGGUUCAACUGGGGUCUGUGAAGCUGGAAGGCUUCAUCAGGCCCAGUCAGUGUGUAUAUAUAUAUAUAUGUGUGUGUGUAUAUAUAUAUAUAUAUAUAUAUGUAAAAUAUAUUUCUAAAUCUCUGAGAUUUAUGCUGUGGUAGCACUAUAAAGUGUCAUAAUUAUGGGUGACAAUUUCAUAUGACAUCGCUAGAAAAACUGCUGUUCAAACAGAAAAGAUCCUUACAGAAAUGUUAUACAAAUUCCAUUGUUGCUUUUCAAUGUUUUUCUGUAUUCUUUAGUUUAUUGUUUUUUCUCUGUUAUUUCAGAAUUACAGAAUGUUUUAACCAUGGAUUUGCCAUCAUUUACCAAGAUUAAACAAAUGGAUAUAAUCCUGUUUCUAUAAAUCUGUGUUGAGAGAUUACUGUGAACUGCUUCCUCUGGCUGAGAUUAUUAACAAAAUGUUGUUACUUCAAUGCCUGGGAUUUAUAAACUUGGAUUACAAAGAGGUUUGCAGAAUUUUCAGAUAUUGACUUCUAUCACAUCUGUUUGAGAUGUGGCCGAACAAAUAUUUGUUUGGAAUAAAAUAUAUGAACAUAAAGAAGAGAAAUUAUGGAAAACAAACUGUGUAAGGACAAUAUUAAGAAUCUUGAAGAUUGCUGUAUCUUUGUGGUGUCUGUGGUAAGUCAUUCUGUCAAAAAGGUAACCUGGAAACACAAAUGUAUUCAUUCAGGGGAGAAAUCAUUCUCCCAAAAAGGUAACGUCAAUAUUCACAAAUACAUUCACACAGAAGAGAAACCAGUCAAAGCUCCGUAUACCGGAAGCCAGAAAGUAUAUGGGGUCAUCAGAAUGCAUGCCGUUUUGGGGCCUACAUCUCAACAGCAUCAAUGAGCACUGGCCCCCCUCACUGAUAUGAGGCCCCGCUUGCUAGAUCAGCUGGUUAUCAAGUUAAGCUCAAUAUCCUUCUAGCCAUUGCUCAUCGUCUCUUUUUAACCAAAUCCAGUGGCUAGCCUUCUCCACUGUAGAUUGGAUAUCGGUUUCUAACCAGCAUAAGAAAAAUUUUUUACAUAACCUCUCUUUUGGUAACAUUGUUAACAAUUUUUUUUUUUAAAUACAAACCAUUCCUUCAAAAUAUUCAUGUAUAAUUCUAACCAACAUAAGAAAAAUUUUUUACAUAACCACAUCAUCGGUCUUUUGGUAACAUUGUUAACAAUUAUUUUUUUUAAAUACAAACCAUUCCUUCAAAAUAUUCAUGUAUAAUUCUAACCAACAUAAGAAAAAUUUUUUACAUAACCACAUCAUCGGUCUUUUGGUAACAUUGUUAACAAUUAUUUUUUUUUAUACAAACCAUUCCUUCAAAAUCUUCAUGUAUAGUUCUAACCAGCAUAAGAAAAAUUUUUUACAUAACCACAUCAUCAGUCUUUUGGUAACAUUGUUAACAAUUAUUUUUUUUUAUACAAACCAUUCCUUCAAAAUAUUCAUGUGUAGUUCUAACCAGCAUAAGAAAAAUUUUUUACAUAACCACAUCAUCAGUCUUUUGGUAACAUUGUUAACAAUUAUUUUUUUUUAUACAAACCAUUCCUUCAAAAUCUUCAUGUAUAGUUCUAACCAGCAUAAGAAAAAUUUUUUACAUAACCACAUCAUCAGUCUUUUGGUAACAUUGUUAACAAUUAUUUUUUUUUAUACAAACCAUUCCUUCAAAAUAUUCAUGUGUAGUUCUAACCAGCAUAAGAAAAAUUACUGUUGAUAUACAGGGUGGGCCAAAAGCCAUGCACCAAAACAUUUGACUUUUCCAAUUAAUAUAAAGUGUUUUUGAAAUGUGCAAUGUAUAUCAUCAUCAUCCUUUGACAUUCAUUUUCCAUGCUGGCAUGGGUUGGAUGGGUCGACUGAAGUUGACAAGCUGGAGAACCACACCAAGUUCCAAUCUAAUUUGGUUUGGUUUCUGCGGCUGGGAUGAGACUCUAUUGAUUUUUUUUCCUUGGCUUUUGAAUUACAAUAUAAUUCUAUUAACCGUAGCUAGACAAAUGUGAAGUGUUUCCACAAUUCUCUUCAAACAGUGAAGCUUCCUUUCCGAGGGCCCAGGUUGGCUGGGAUGAGACUCUAUUGAUUUUUUUUCCUUGGCUUUUGAAUUACAAUAUAAUUCUAUUAACAGUAGCUAGACAAAUGUGAAGCAUUUCCACAAUUCUCUUCAAACAGCAAAGCUUCCUUUCCGAGGGCCCAGGUUGGCUGGGAUGAGACUCUAUUGAUUUUUUUUCCUUGGCUUUUGAAUUACAAUAUAAUUCUAUUAACCGUAGCUAGACAAAUGUGAAGUGUUUCCACAAUUCUCUUCAAACAGUGAAGCUUCCUUUCCGAGGGCCCAGGUUGGCUGGGAUGAGACUCUAUUGAUUUUUUUUCCUUGGCUUUUGAAUUACAAUAUAAUUCUAUUAACCGUAGCUAGACAAAUGUGAAGUGUUUCCACAAUUCUCUUCAAACAGUGAAGCUUCCUUUCCGAGGGCCCAGGUUGACUGGGAUGAGAAUCUGUUGAUUCUUUUCCUUGGCUUUUGAAUUAUAAUAUAAUUGUAUUAACAAUAGCUAGAAAAAUAUGAAGUAUUUCGGCAAUCUUUCACUGGGUAAAACCAGUGUCAGAUUGCCCAACAAUUGACCUCUUUGAAAAUCUAACAGUUCUGCUGAAUUCUUUGUGCAGACUAUUUUAUGGUUACUAUUGGUAUAUACCGAGGUUAUGGCCUUAUUGGUUGUUUUAGUGGGUAAUAAAUAUAUGCAUAUAUAUAAAUAUAUAUACCCAUACAUAUAUGUAUAUAUUAACUAAUGUGUUAGCCUUCAAAUUAUAUCGACAGUUAUUCAGUUUGAUUUAAUCCAAAAUGUGAACACUAAUGUCAGUCUUUCUGGUAUCGUUUUUAUAAUGUCUUAUUUCAUUUGCAUUCUAUGCAUCAGGUUAUUAACCAAUGUGUUUGCCUCCAACAUAUAUCGGCAGGAUUAUCAUUCAAUUUGAUUUAAUCCAAUAUGUGACCACCAAUGUCAGUAUUUUUAGACAUCUCUUCUAUAAUGUUGCAGGUUAUUUUCAAUAAUAAUUGUACAACCUGUGUCCAAUUCUUCGUCUCUGAAACACGAAGAGACAACACCAUUUCUAGUUUUGCGAAACUACGAGAUCUUGUCGAUAUAAUUUAGAAGGCAUUUCACCACUAGCGUUGCUGGGAGUGGGUCUUCUAGGGGUGGUCUGCCCCGCGUGACGCUUCUGGGUCUGCUGUUGGCAGUGUGUUUUUGUUGGGUCCAGGAGUAGCACAAACUCUAGCUACGCUAGUGCAUUUUACUGGCAAAUGUUUCCCCGAAAAAUCUGAAUUGGGAGGCCCAGUGAAGGGGUGUCUAGCUUAAAGAGAUAGGAUAUUAUAUAGUGACCAUACAACUGUUGCCUGUAAGAUAAAGAAAUAUUCAGCAAUAUCAGUUUGUUUAGAAAGUUCUUGGACACUUUUAAUACUACUUUAUCAACAAUUAAAAAAGCAUCAAAGAACGAUCGAUCCAAAAGGUAAUCACCCUUGUUAUUGAUCACCUUUUGCCGUCUUUCAGGCAAAGUUUUGAAUCCUUUCAUCCUGAAAUCGUGUGACUUUGAAUCAAUAAAGUCGAAAGGGAACGAUUUCACAUCUUCUUUGUUUUCAAACUCUUUAUUGCCAAUUGCAUGUUGCAAGGCGGAGAGUAAGUGGUAGUCAGAAGGGGCAAGGUCAGGAGAGUAUGGUGGGUGUACCAUAAUCUCCCAGCCCACCUCCUUCAGCUUCUCUGGCGUCUUCUUUGCACGAUGUGCUGGCGUGUUGUCUUGGUGGUAAGUUAUCGUCUUCAAAUUUGAGCCAUCUUCGAUCCGCGCGAUCUUCGAUCUGCGUGAUCUUUGAUCUGUGCGAUCUUUGACCUGUGCGAUCUUUGAUCUGUGCGAUCUGCGUGAUCUUCGAUCCAUGCAAUCUUUGAUCUGCGCGAUCUUCGAUCUGCGUGAUCUUUGAUCUGUGCGAUCUUUGACCUGUGCGAUCUUUGAUCUGUGCGAUCUGCGUGAUCUUCGAUCCGUGCAAUCUUUGAUCUGCGUGAUCUUCGAUCCGUGCGAUCUUCGAUCUGCGUGAUCUUCGAUCUGUGCGAUCUUUGAUCCGUGCAAUCUUCGAUCUGCGUGAUCUUCGAUCUGUGCGAUCUUUGAUCCGUGCAAUCUUUGAUCUGCGUGAUCUUCGAUCUGUGCGAUCUUCGAUCUGCGUGAUCUUCGAUCUGUGCGAUCUUUGAUCCGUGCAAUCUUUGAUCUGCGUGAUCUUCGAUCCGUGCGAUCUUCGAUCUGCGUGAUCUUCGAUCUGUGCGAUCUUUGAUCCGUGCAAUCUUCGAUCUGCGUGAUCUUCGAUCUGCGUGAUCUUCGAUCUGUGCGAUCUUUGAUCCGUGCAAUCUUCGAUCUGCGUGAUCUUCGAUCUGUGCGAUCUUCGAUCUGCGUGAUCUUCGAUCUGUGCGAUCUUUGAUCCGUGCAAUCUUCGAUCUGCGUGAUCUUCGAUCUGUGCGAUCUUUGAUCCGUGCAAUCUUUGAUCUGUGUGAUCUUUAGACAGUCAAUUUGUUCGCAGUAGACAUCCUUGUCAACGGUGGUAUUGCGUGGGAGAAGAUCCAAAAUGAUCACCCCACAGCAAUCCCACCAAACUGAGAUCAUAACCUUCUUUUGCGCAAGCGGUCCUUUUGGCGAAGGUUUUAGCUGUUGACCGUUGCUACAUCUGGAUUGUCUGCACCUCACGUUGGAGUACAUUACCCACUUUUCAUCCGUACUGAUUACUGACUCCGACGAAUCGAAUCUUUGGCUUUGCCAGAGCAGACUUUGACACGCAGUAACAUGUGCUUGUUUGUUCGCUUCACUCCAUUCACGUAGCACUCAUUUUCCAAGCUGGCUGACCUUGCCAAGACGAUGCAGGUGGUUAACGAUCAUGACAUGGGAGAUGUUAAAACUGUACCACAAAUUGAUGUGCAGUUUGCAUUGGAUCGGCUUUAAUGACUUUAAUACCGCCAUGUUUCACAGUCAGUUGGGGUCGUUUCAGAUCAAAUUCUUGAAAGGGAAGCGGUAAUGGAUCCUUCAACACAGCCUGACCUGAACGCUAGAAAUAGCAGCUGCUUCUCCCAACCUUAACAACGUGCUGACGCCGUCUUACUCGCUCGGCGACCUCAAUCAAAAAGGUAGAAUCCUGCCCUACCUGCGCAUGCAUCACUGCUGCCCCUUCCGGUCAGCCCCAAGUUCCGGUCAGCUCCCCAGCUGCUGACGUCAUCCCUUACCCAUACCAUUACAGAGAUACCGCCAUGUUUCACAUUUAGUUGGAAUCGUUUCAAAUUAAAUUCUUGAAUGGGAAGCCUCCAGACCCAAACAUGUCCACUGUCUGGAAAUAAUGCAAAUCUGGAUUCCUCCGAGAAAAUCACUCUAUCCCAAAAUGAACUGAAUUCUUCUGACAUCUCCUUAGCCCAUUUCUUUCUUUUCAUGAUAUUAAUUGGUUGAAGCAGGUUUCUUCAAGCUGGUCGUCCAUAAUACCCAAGCUUAUGCAGAUAUGUAACACACAUUCUUGGAUUAACUUCUGGCUGUUUUGCAAUGUCAGAAGACUUUGAACAAGGGUUCAUUUUCCACAAUUCUUUUCAAACGGCAAAGCUUUGUUUCCGAGGGCCCAGGUUGGCUGGGAUGAGACUCUAUUGAUUGUUGAUUUUUUUUCCUUGGCUUUUGAAUUACAAUAUAAUUCUAUUUACCAUUACUAGACAAAUGUGAAAUGUUUCCACAAUUCUCUUCAAACAGUGAAGCUUCCUUUCCGAGGGCCCAGGUUGGCUGGGAUGAGACUCUAUUGAUUUUUUUUCCUUGGCUUUUGAAUUACAAUAUAAUUCUAUUAACCGUAGCUAGACAAAUGUGAAGUGUUUCCACAAUUCUAUUCAAACAGCAAAGCUUUGUUUGUGAGGGCCCAGGUUGGCUGGGAUGAGACUCUACUGAUUUUUUUUCCUUGGCUUUUGAAUUACAAUAUAAUUCUAUUAACCGUAGCUAGACAAAUGUGAAGUAUUUCCACAAUUCUUUUCAAACAGCAAAGCUUUGUUUCCGAGGGCCCAGGUUGGCUGGGAUGAGAAUCUGUUGAUUUUUUUUCCUUGGCUUUUGAAUUACAAUAUAAUUCUACUUAACAGUAGCUAGAAGAAUUUGAAGUGUUUCCACAAUUCUAUUCAAACAGCAAAGCUUUGUUUGUGAGGGCCCAGGUUGGCUGGGAUGAGAAUCUGUUGAUUAUUUUUCCGUGACUUUUGAAUUACAAUAUAAUUCUAUUAACAGUAGCUAGAAGAAUUUGAAGUAUUUCCACAAUUCUCUUCAAACAGCAAAGCUUCCGUUGUGAGGGCCCAGGUUGGCUGGGAUGAGAAUCUGUUGAUUCCUUUCCUCAUUUUCCAAGCCUGCUAACCUUGCCGAGACGACGCAGGUGGUUAACGAUCGUGACAUGGGAGAUGCUAAAACUGUACCACAAAUUGAUGCGCAGUUUGCAUUGGAUCGGCUUUAAUGACUUGCGACAUUGCAUCAUCACCAACCCUUUCUAGGAUCUCGCCUCAAGGUUGGUCUUCUGUUAUAUAAUUUGUUUCUUUACUACCCACAAGGGGCUAAAUACAGAGGGGACAAACAAGGACAGGCAAAGGGAUUAAGUCGAUUACAUUGACCCCAGUGCAUAACUGAUACUUAUUUAAUCGACCCCGAAAGGAUGAAAGGGAAAGUCGACCUCGGCAGAAUUUGAACUCAGAACGUAGAGGCAGACAAAAUACGGCUACGCAUUUUGCCCGGCGUGCUAACGUUUCUGCCAAAGCGCUGACACCAAUUACCGCAAGUACUUUUCGAGACCAUGCAAGGGCCAAACACUUCGCAGAUUAGUUCGGCUGCAUCAAGCACAGAUGUGCCAUGUUUGAAGUGAUACAGUAUGACGCCACGCAGAGCCAGCGUUAAGGGCAAUAUUUUGAGCCAUUUUGCGCAAAAAGUGAUAUAUUUUGCAAAUACAACUGACACAAAAAGCCAAUGAGCAGCUAGUGAUUAUCAGUUUUUGUAUACUCACAAUGUGGAGGCAUAUGGCCUAGUGGUUAGAGUAGCGGUCUCGCGGUCGAGGGAUCGCGGGUUCGAAUCUCAGUCUGUGCGAUGUGUGUGUUUAUGAGCGAAACACCUAAGCUCCAAGCGGCUCUGGCAGGAGGUAAUGGCGAAGUUCUGCUGACUCUCUCGCCACAACUUUCUCUCACUCUUUCCUCCUGCAUCUUACAGCUCACCUGUGACGAACCGGCGUCCCGUCCAGGUGGGGAACCUAUACGCCAAGGAAACCGGGAAACCGGCCCUUAUGAGCCAGGCAUGGCUCGAGAAGGAACAAAUAUAUAUGUGUGGAGGCACAUGGCUAGAGUAGUGGACUCGUGGUCGAGGGAUCAUGGGUUCGAAUCUCAGACCGGGCGAUGUGUGUGUUUAUGAGCGAAACACCUAAGCUCCAUGUGGAUCCGGCAGAGGGUAAUGGCGAAACUUCUGCUGACUCUUUGGCCACAACUUUCUCUCACUCUUUCCUCCUGCGACGGACCGGCGUCCCGUCCAGGUGGUGAAUCUAUACGCCAAGGAAACCGGGAAACCGGCCCUUAUGAGCCAGGCAUGGCUCGAGAAGGAACAAACAUAUACUCACAAUAGAUAUGCUGGCUGCUCCCGAUUGGUUUCAAAUCUUACACAUCUGGGCAUCUAAUUUAAUGAUACACUUAUAACCUUCUUUGAUAAGUUUUUUGUAACCCAUGGGUUGAUGUCGGACACUACCAACCGUGCAUAAAUCAGAUAAACUACUUCAGCAUCAAGAAUUUUGUCGGUCUCAUCAUCAUCAUCAUCCUCAUCGUUUAACGUCCGUUUUCCAUGCUAGCAUGGGCUGGACGGUUUGACCGGGGAUCUGGGAAGCCAGAAGGCUGCACCGGACACCAGUCUGAUCUGGCAGUGUUUCUAUGGCUGGAUGCCCUUCCUAAUGCCAACCACUCCGUGAGUGUAGUGGGUGCUUUUUAUGUGCCAAACGAGGCUGGCAAACAACCAUGAUUGGAUGGUGCUUUUUACGUGCCACCAGCACGGAGGCCAGUCGUGCGGCGCUGGCUAUGGCCACGUUCGGAUGGUUCUCUUACGUGCCACUGGCACUGGUAUCACAGCUACAAAUUCCAUUGAUGUUGGUUGAUUACGAUUUUUUGAAUUGUAUCAGGUUGGUGCAAAAGUGGCAAAAUUUUCUGAGAAUUAUGGCCGGAAGUCAGAUAAUCUGAAAGAAAAUAGUACAAAUUAGACACAAGAGAUAUCUUAAAACUAUAAGAAGAUAGUACAAAGAAAAUAGUACAAAUUAGACACAAGAGAUAUCUUAAAACUAUAAGAUGUUAAAAAGUUGAUAAAUUCGCUCUGAAACAUUUUUUUCUAGAAAUCGGACAUUUGCGCCAAUUUGAUAUAUUGAGAUUUCUAAGGGUUUUUGAUGCUUAAAACAACCAGACCCAGUCAUUAUUAUACUCAUAAGGAACUAGAUUGAGUACAACGUUUACCACAUAUAUAGUUCCUUGGAAAAGAGUAGUUUCUACUGCCUUUUUAAUUCUUCAUUUGGAUCAUACGAUACAACAAGCGUCUCUUAAACAGAUCGUAAACUCAUAUUCUUUUCAAUAUCUGGUUAUGUUUCCUGAGAAAUCCAGUAUCAUUUUUUUUUAAAUGUCUACUUAUUGUUUAUUACCUACACUUGAGGGGUGUUGGUCUUAUCCUGUUGCAUUCAAUUGUGUUGAAAGGAAAAUCAAAACUUCGACUAUCUUCAACAGCAAUAAAUAAUAUUUCAUUUUGGUCUGGAUUCGCAAAUAAAAAUAUAUACACUUAUAUUUUUCUUCAGGGUGAACUUGUAGCCAAGGCCAUAAAACUAUUCACAAUAGUUAACUUGUGUGAGCCAAAAAUGCUGUCUCCGUUCCCGUGUAGACACGUUCUUCACGUGUUGGGUUUUCUUUGAGAGAAGGUUGUGUUGUGUCCACUCGAUUGGGCUGCAGCUUCUAAAAAGACAGAUCUAGCAGGGAAACUUUCUGUUGGCAGUUCUCUGCGCAUGCGCACGAGGGAAUUCCUGGCAGCCUACCAGAAGUAAUCCAACUCUGUGCAUGUGUGCUGAAAACUUCCGAAAUAGUGUCACUACACUCGUAAGGAACUCGAUUGGGUACAAUAUUUACCACAUAUAUAGUUCCUUGGAAAACAGUAGUUUCUACUGCCAUUUUAAUUCUUCAUUUGGAUCAACAAGCGUCUCUUGAACAGAUAGUAAACUCAUAUUCUAUUCAAUAUCUGGUUAUGUUUCCUGAGAAAUCCAGUAUCAUUUUUUUUAAAUGUCUACUUAUUGUUUAUCAUCUAAACAUUGAGAGACAACAUGUCUAGCUUUGAGAGACUGCCAAAUGCUACGGGUAUAGUUUAGAAGACAACAUUUCACCACCAGCAUAGCUGGGGGUGGUCUGCCCCGGGUGGCACUUUUGUUAUUUCUGGACCAGUAAUUGGAAUCUAUUUGAGCUCAACCCUGUAAAGAACUCGACUGAGUACAAUGUUUUCCACAUUUAUAGUUGUAAAGAACACUCAUAUUCUAUUCAAUAUCUGGUUAGGUUUCCUGAGAAAUCCAGUAUGAUAUUUUUUAAAUGUCCACUUAUUGUUUAUUACCUACAUGUUACGUCUCCUAAAUGAGGCGGGUGUGUAUGUGAGUGGCAUGACUCAAUUCAUGUCGAGGAACUGAUGGUAAGAGUGGCGCAAAAUUAGAACCGUUUCUCCGUAGAUCAGGGAUCAACUGGAGGUCCCUGACUUCCACAUAAUCUGGAAGUUAAUUUGGAAGAUUUUGGAAUGUUCUAAGGGUCGUGGGAGGUUAGUGUAGGGGUGAAUAUAUGUGGUGUGUCAUGUUCUUGAAUAUGGGAUUUUCUGAGAAAGCCUUUGUAACAGGAUGAAGGUCUCUGAAACCUUGAGGGGUGCCGGUCCUUAUCCUGUUACAUUCAAUUAUUUCGAAAGGAAAAUCAAAACUUUGACUAUCUUCAACAGAAGGCUUCACCAGGCUCAGUCUGAUCUGGCAAUGUUUCUAUGGCUGGAUGCCCUUCCUAACGCCAACCGUGAGUGUAGUGGGUGCUUUUUACUUUCCACCGGCACAGGCGCCAGAUGGGGCUGGCAAACGGCCACGGUCGAAUGGUGCUUUUUACAUGCCACCGGCACGGGGGUCAGACGAAGCUGGCAAACGGCCAUGAUCGGAUGGUGCGUUUUACGUUCCACUGGCACGGGGGCCAGGCGAGGCUGGCAAACGGCCACGGUCGGAUGGUGCUUUUUAUGUGCCACCGGCCAUGAUCGGAUGGUGCGUUUUACGUUCCACUGAUACAGGUGCCAGACGCAGCUGGCAAACGGCCACGGUCGGAUGGUGCUUUUUACAUACCACCUGCGUGGAGGCGAGGCGAGGCUGGCAACGGCCAUGAUCAAAUGGUGCGUUUUACGUUCCACUGAUACAGGUGCCAGACGCAGCUGGCAAACGGCCACGGUCGGAUGGUGCUUUUUACAUACCACCUGCACGGAGGCCAGGCGAGGCUGGCAACGGCCAUGAUCAAAUGGUGCUUUUUACGUGCCACCGGCACUGGUAUCACAGCUGCAAUUUCCAUUGAUGUUGAUCGAUUUCGAUUUCGAUUUCCACUUGCUUCAACAGGUGUUCACAGGUAGAGUUUUGUGUCCCAAGAAGGAAAGGUAUGCAUAAAACUCGAAAGAUGUUUAUAUAGGUAGAAUAUACAAAGGUGAGUUAACAGGUAUAAUUGCCAACACAGAAACAUGAUUCAUACAGCAAAAUGACCACAUCCCUACUUCUCAACGUAGUCACCGUUUCUCUCAAUAGCGAUGUUCCACCUUUGAGUGAGAGCAUGUAACCCCUGCCCAGUAAAAUUCUGUUGACUGUUCUUUGAGCCACUUCUUCACCACAGUUUUCACAUCCUCGUCACUGGAAUCAUGCUUGCCUCUCAAACCCUCUUUCACGGGGCUGAAGAGAUGAUAGUAUAGUCUGAAGGCGCUAAAUCUGGUGAGUAUGAGUAUGGAGGAUGCGGUAAAGUUGUCCACCUGGAUGAGGCGAUUGCCUCUCUUGUCCUGAUGCUUGUGUGUGGUCGAGCAUUGUCACGCAGAAGGACAUUGUCGAUUGGCAAGUUGGGUCUUAUUUGUCUGAUUCUUGCUCUGAGCCUCGUCAGGGUCUUAAUGGGGGCCUCAGAACUUAUUUUUCCUUUUGGCAAGAAAUCGACCAGAAUGACAUUUUCGGUGGUGGUCACAUAGAGUGGCACCAUUCCAUUGACUGCCUCUUUGAUUCUGGGUCAUAAUGAUGAACCCACGUUACGUCUCCUAAAUGAGGCGGGUGUGUACGUGAGUGGCAUGACUCAAUUCAUGUCGAGGAACUGAUGGUAAGAGUGGCGCAAAAUUAGAACCGUUUCUCCGUAGAUCAGGGAUCAACUGGAGGUCCCUGAUUUCCACAUAAUCUGGAAGUUAAUUUGGAAGAUUUUGGAAUGUUCUAGGGGUCGUGGGAGGUGAGUGUACGGGUGAAUAUAUGUGGUGUGUCAUGUUCUUGAAUAUGGGAUUUUCUGAGAAAGCCUUUGUAACAGGAUGAAGGUCUCUGAAACCUUGAGGGGUGCCAGUCUUAUCCUGUUGCAUUCAAUUGUGUUGAAAGGAAAAUCAAAACUUCGACUAUCUUCAACAGCAAUAAAUAAUAUUUCAUUUUGGUCUGGAUUCACAGAUAAAAAUAUAUACACUUAUAUUUUUCUUCAGGACGAACCGGUAACCAAGGCCAUAAAACUAUUCACAAUAGUUAACUUGGGUGAGGCAAAAAUGGUGUCUCCGUUCCUGCGUAGAAGGGGGGGUUCUUCACGUGUUGGGUUUUCUUUCAGAGAAGGUUGAGUUGUGUCCACUCGAUAGGGCUGCAGCUUCUAAAAAGACAGAUCUAGCGGGGAAACUUUCUGUUGGCAGUUCUCUGCACAUGCGCACGAGGGAACUUCCGGCGGCCUACCAGAAGUAUGCGGGCUGAAAACUUCCGAAAUAGCGUCACUACACUUCUAAAGGACUCAAUUGAGUACAAUAUUUUCACAUAUAUAGUUCCUUGGAAAACUGUAGUUUCUACUGCCAUAGAAGGGGGCUUCUUUACGUGUUGCUUUUUAUGAGAGAACCUUGAACGUGCCCUCGAUUCAGCUGCAGCUUCUAUUCUGACGAUGGAUAUUGUUUCUUUUUGACCAUUAACGUCGACUACGAAGUUUUUUGGUGAGUGCAACAGUACACGAUAGCAUUCAGAAAAAGGUGUACGCAGCAUAUUAAAUAUGUAACACCCUUUUCUGAGUUCAGUCCCACUGUGUGGCACCUUGAGCAAGUCUCUUCUACUAUAGCCUCAGGCCAACCAAAACCUUGCAAGCGGAUUUGGUAGACGGAAACUGAAAGAAGCCUGUCAUAUAUAUAAAUAUAAGUGCCAGUGACACAUAAGAGGCACCCAGCCAUAGAAACCAAACCAAAGUCAGACUGGGGGCUGGUGCAGCUCUCCAGCUGACCACUUCUGGUCAAACUGUUCAACCCAUGCCAGCAUGGAAAACGUAUGAUGAUGGUGACAUCUAUGCGUGUCUGUUUUUGCCCCCACCCACCCACCACAACCACAUGACAACUGUCGCACUCACCAAAAGUUUGCUUGGCCUGCUACGGCCGGGUUUGUAUUGAAACUUGUUAAUUGCCAACCUUCCGUUAUGUGCCAAUUUCUUUCAUUGUUACCUGUACCUGAAAUCCUGUAAAUAAUUUUUCAUGUCCCUGGAGGUUCAGAGAAGGGUUAUCUAGCUCUUGCCUUAUCUCGGAUAAAAGAGCUAGGAUCUGUUUGAGUGGUGGUACUAUGGAUCUAUUUUCUUGGUGAACUUACCUGGCGGCAGACUCUCAUGCAAUUGAUAGUAGUGAUCUUACCUGUAAUCAUUUCAGUCACCUCUUGUCAUUAAGCAUAUUUUCUUUGUUGCUUGUAGCAGAAAUCCUAUCUAUAAUUUCUCAUGUCCCUGGAGGUUCAGAGAAGGGUUAUCUAGCUCAAAUAAUCGCUGACCAUCCAGAUUAUAACAGAUCAUCAUCAUCAUCAUUUAGUGUCCGCUUUCCAUGCUGGCAUGGGUUGGAUGGUUCAACUGGGGUCUGGGAAGCCAGGAGGCUGCACCAGGCCCGAUCUGAUCUGGCAGUGUUUCUACAGCUGGAUGCCCUUCCUAACGCCAACCACUCUGAGAGUGUAGUGGGUGCUUUUUACAUGCCGCCGGACACAGGUGCCAGACGGGGCUGGCAAACGGCCAUGAUCGGAUGGUGCUUUUUAUGUGCCACCAGCAUGGAGGUCAGGCGAGGCUAGCAAACGGCCACGGUCGGACAGUGCUUUUUACAUGCCACCGGCACAGGCGCCAAACGAGGCUGGCAAACGGCCACGAUCGGAUGGUGCGUUUUACGUGCCACUGGCACGUGGGCCAGGCAAGGCUGGCAAACGGCCACGGUCGGAUGGUGCUUUUUAUGUGCCACCAGCACGGGGACCAGGCAAGGCUAGCAAACGGCCACGGUCGGACAGUGCUUUUUACAUGCCACCGGCACAGGUGCCAAACGGCCACGAUUGGAUGGUGCUUUGUUAAUAUUGAGUCUGAAUAGAUUUGUCUUAUCUCAGAUAAAAGAGCUAGAAUCUGUUUGAGUGGUGGUGCUUAUGGAUUUAUUUUCUUGGUGAACUUACCUGGUGCAAUUGAUAGUAGUGAUCUUACCUGUAAUCAUUUCAGUCACCUCUUAUCAUUAAGCAUAUUAUCUUUGUUGCUUGUGGCUGAAAUCUUAUCUAUAAUUUUUAAUGUCCCUGGAGGUUCAGAGAAGGAUUAUCUAGCUCUUGCCUUAUCUCGGAUAAAAGAGCUAGGAUCUGUUUGAGUGGAGGUGUUAUGGAUCUAUUUUCUUGGUGAACUUACCUGGCGGCAGACUCUCGUGCAAUUGAUAGUAGUGAUCUUACCUGUAAUCAUUUCAGUCACCUCUUGUCAUUAAGCAUAUUUUCUUUGUUGCUUGUAGCUGAAAUCCUGUAAGUAAUUUCUAAUGUCCCUGGAGGUUCAGAGAAUGGUUAUCUAGCUCAAAUCAUCCCCAUAGUGAAUUUAUAAAGAUGGGAGGUGGUUUCUUGGCAAAGGAUUCAUCAAGGUAUCUUUUUAUAUGCCAUCCAAGGAAUUGAAAUUUUUACCAUUAAGACUAUUCUGUAGAAACCUGAAUAAGUGGAAAUCCGAAGGAACAAUAUCUGGUGAAUAUGGAGGGUGAGGUAACACAUCCCAGCCGAGCUGCAGCAAUUUUUGUCUGGUUCCCAAAGGAACAUUAGCUAAAUUUUUUCCAUUAUCAGUAAAUUUUACUACUCUCAUAUAGAUACAGGUAUUGGGUUGUCUGGAAAGUUCAUGCCGAUUCUUAAAGGAAAGAAAAAGGUCAAUAAAUACUUGCCAUUACAUGUUUAAUCAACCAAAUAUAAGCCAUUUUGCUGCACAAUGUGUCUCCAUCUUUCCAUUAACUUGAAAACACCUUCUUCCCAGAAUUGAGGUGAUUUCAUGGCAAAGAAUUCAUCAACGUAUCUUUUUAUAUGUCAUCCAAGGAAUUGAAAUUUUUACCAUUAAGACUAUUCUGUAGAAACCUGAAAAAGUGGAAAUCUGAAGGAGCAAUAUCUGGUGAAUAUGGAGGGUGGGGUAACACAUCCCAGCCGAGCAUCUGGGAGUUAUCAAUAUUUCCAUUGGGUUGUCCGGAAAGUUCGUGGCGAUUUUUAAAGGAAAGAAAAAGGUCAAUAAAUACUUGCCAUUACAUUUUUAAUCAACCAAAUAUGAACCAUUUUGUUGCACAAUGCGUCUCCAUCUUUCCUUUAACUUAAAAAUACCCUCUUCCCAGAAUUGAAGGGGUCUCAUGGCAGAGAAUUCAUCAAGGUAUCUUUUUACAACACCCUUCCUUUUGUCCAAAAAAAUUUGGUUCAAUUAAAGUAAAACUACAUUUUCCGCUAUUCAUUCACUACCAUCACCACCACCAUCUCUCUUUCUACUCUAUCCGUCUUUAUCUCUGCCUUUGUUUAACCUUGCCAACAGAGCAUCACCCCACCCUCUACUAAACAUUGUAUUUUUAACACCCUCUCUCUGUAUUGCUCCCUUCAAUUAGCAUUUUAACCACAUAAGUAUUACAUUCUCCUUACCUUAUUUUUUCUCCCUCUUUCCUUCUCGCUCCUUGAUUUCCCUUCAACUAGGCUGUCCAGUAACUCCAUAAUUUUUCAUGCAAGGAAUUUUAGUGUAAUUACAGUUUCUUUUCAAUGUGGUAUACUUGAAAACACAGAGCGGGACAUUGCACUUCUCAUACACACAUACACUCACACUAUUUUAUACAGCAGAAGGUGGUGAGCUGGCAGAAACGUUAGUGUGCCGGACGAAAUGCUUAGCGGUAUUUCAUCUGCCGUACGUUCUGAGUUCAAAUUCCACCGAGGUCGACUUUGCCUUUCAUCCUUUCGGGGUUGAUAAAUUAAGUACCCGUUUCGCACUGGGGUCGAUGUAAUCAACUUAAUCCGUUUGCCUGUCCUUGUUUGUCCCCUCUAUGUUUAGCCCCUUGUGGGCAAUAAAGAAAUAAGAAUCGUUAACACGCCAGGCGAAAUACCUAAGCUGUAUUUCGUCUGUCUUUACAUUCUGAGUUCAAAUUCCGCCGAGGUCCACUUUGCUUUUCAUCCUUUUGGGGUCAAUUAAAUAAGUACCAGUUACGCACUGGGGUCGAUGUAAUCGACUUAAUCCGUUUGCCUGUCCUUGUUUGUCCCCUCUAUGUUUAGCCCCUUGUGGAUAAUAAAGAAAUAGGUAUUUCGUCUGCGCUACGUUCUGAGUUCAAAUUCCGCCGAGGUCGACUUUGUCUUUCAUCCUUUAGGGGUUGAUAAAUAAAGUACCAGUUACGCACUGGGGUCGAUGUAAUCGACUUUAUAUCUUUGUCUAUCCUUGUUUAUCUCCUCUGUGUUUAGCCCCCUUGUGGGCAGUAAUGAAAUAUAUAUUUUAAUGCAGCUGGUGCUGCUUCCUAUCUGUAAAGGGUUAAUUACUGAAUGGUAAAACAUAAAAGGGGUUUGAUUUAAAAUGUUUUAUUGCUUGGCUGAAAGCUGAGGUUUAUUGUAAAUAUUACAUCUAAACAUUCGAAGAAAACUAAAGUCUGUAAUUUUUGAUCAAUAAAACUGAUUUUUCAAACUUUGAAAUAUAAAAUUUCCAAACUGUUUGUUCUUUGUUGCAUUUUCUUGUCUUUUAAUCUUGUUUCAGUUAUUUGACUAUGGCCAUGCUGGGGCACCAUUGUUUCCUGUAAAAACAAUCAGAAUGCCGGACAUAUUUUAUAGUCUGUAUAAUGGAAUGUGAAAUCAAAUACAAAUGUCUGUGUGUGUGUG